rnacentral:rRNA from 1 species
ACCUCGAGUGCCAGGUUACAAAUCUGGCUGUCGUGAUGCCUAAAAAGCAUUGCAUAGCAAGGGCCGGGCAAGACCGGUGCCAGCCGCCGCGGUAACACCGGCGGCUCGAGUGGUAACCGUUAUUAUUGGGUCUAAAGGGUCUGUAGCCGGCCGGAUAAGUCUCUUGGGAAAUCUGGCAGCUUAACUGUCAGGCUUUCAGGAGAUACUGUCUGGCUCGAGGCCGGGAGAGGUGAGAGGUACUUCAGGGGUAGGGGUGAAAUCUUGUAAUCCUUGAAGGACCACCAGUGGCGAAGGCGUCUCACCAGAACGGACCUGACGGCAAGGGACGAAAGCUAGGGGCACGAACCGGAUUAGAUACCCGGGUAGUCCUAGCCGUAAACGAUACUCGCUAGGUGUCGGCCACGGUGCGACCGUUGUCGGUGCCGUAGGGAAGCCGUGAAGCGAGCCACCUGGGAAGUACGGCCGCAAGGCUGAAACUUAAAGGAAUUGGCGGGGGAGCAC